rnacentral:rRNA from 1 species
CGUGUAGGCGGUUGGGCAAGUCAGAUGCGAAAGCCUUCUGCUUAACAGAAGAAGUGCAUUUGAAACUACCCGGCUAGAGUACGGGAGAGGAGAGUGGAAUUCCCGGUGUAGAGGUGAAAUUCGUAGAUAUCGGGAGGAACACCAGUGGCGAAGGCGGCUCUCUGGUCCGAUACUGACGCUGAGACGCGAAAGCGUGGGGAGCAAACAGGAUUAGAUACCCUGGUAGUCCACGCCCUAAACGAUGGGCACUAGGUGUAGGAGGUAUUGACCCCUUCUGUGCCGAAGCUAACGCAUUAAGUGCCCCGCCUGGGGAGUACGGCCGCAAGGCUAAA